AUACGUAGGGGGCGAGCGUUGUCCGGAAUGAUUGGGCGUAAAGGGCGCGUAGGCGGCCCGGUAAGUCUGGAGUGAAAGUCCUGUUUUUAAGAUGGGAAUUGCUUUGGAUACUGUCGGGCUUGAGUGCAGGCGCGGUAAGUGGAAUUCCCAGUGCAGCGGUGAAAUGCGUAGAGAUUGGGAGGAACACCAGUGGCGAAGGCGAAUUACUGGACUGUAACUGACGCUGAGGCGCGAAAGUGUGGGCAGCAAACAGGAUUAGAUACCCUGGUAGUCCACACUGUAAACGAUGAAUGCUAGGUGUAGGGGGUAUCGACCCCUUCUGUGCCGCAGUCAACACAAUAAGCAUUCCGCCUGGGGAGCACGGCCGCAAGGUUGAAACUUAAAGGAAUUGACGGGG
rnacentral:rRNA from 1 species